GUGAAGAACGUAGCGAAAUGCGAUACUUGGUGUGAAUUGCAGAAUCCCGUGAACCAUCGAGUCUUUGAACGCAAGUUGCGCCCGAAGCCAUCAGGUUGAGGGCACGUCUGCCUGGGCGUCACAUAUCGUUGCCCAAUGCCUAUUGCAGUGCAAUAGGAAUUUCUAGGGCGAAUGAUGGCUUCCCGUGAGCGUUGUUGCCUCGCGGUUGGUUGAAAAUCGAGUCCUUGGUAGGGUGUGCCAUGGUAGAUGGUGGUCGAGUUAGAACGAUACCGAUCAUGUGCAUGCUCCCCAAAAUAUGGCCUCUAUGACCCACACGCGUCUUUUGACGCUCAUGACGAGACCUCAGGUCAGGCGGGGCUACCCGCUGAAUUUAAGCAUAUCAAUAGCGGAGGA
rnacentral:misc_RNA from 1 species